rnacentral:rRNA from 1 species
AAGUCGAACGAACUCUGGUAUUGAUUGGUGCUUGCAUCAUGAUUUACAUUUGAGUGAGUGGCGAACUGGUGAGUAACACGUGGGAAACCUGCCCAGAAGCGGGGGAUAACACCUGGAAACAGAUGCUAAUACCGCAUAACAACUUGGACCGCAUGGUCCGAGCUUGAAAGAUGGCUUCGGCUAUCACUUUUGGAUGGUCCCGCGGCGUAUUAGCUAGAUGGUGGGGUAACGGCUCACCAUGGCAAUGAUACGUAGCCGACCUGAGAGGGUAAUCGGCCACAUUGGGACUGAGACACGGCCCAAACUCCUACGGGAGGCAGCAGUAGGGAAUCUUCCACAAUGGACGAAAGUCUGAUGGAGCAACGCCGCGUGAGUGAAGAAGGGUUUCGGCUCGUAAAACUCUGUUGUUAAAGAAGAACAUAUCUGAGAGUAACUGUUCAGGUAUUGACGGUAUUUAACCAGAAAGCCACGGCUAACUACGUGCCAGCAGCCGCGGUAAUACGUAGGUGGCAAGCGUUGUCCGGAUUUAUUGGGCGUAAAGCGAGCGCAGGCGGUUUUUUAAGUCUGAUGUGAAAGCCUUCGGCUCAACCGAAGAAGUGCAUCGGAAACUGGGAAACUUGAGUGCAGAAGAGGACAGUGGAACUCCAUGUGUAGCGGUGAAAUGCGUAGAUAUAUGGAAGAACACCAGUGGCGAAGGCGGCUGUCUGGUCUGUAACUGACGCUGAGGCUCGAAAGUAUGGGUAGCAAACAGGAUUAGAUACCCUGGUAGUCCAUACCGUAAACGAUGAAUGCUAAGUGUUGGAGGGUUUCCGCCCUUCAGUGCUGCAGCUAACGCAUUAAGCAUUCCGCCUGGGGAGUACGGCCGCAAGGCUGAAACUCAAAGGAAUUGACGGGGGCCCGCACAAGCGGUGGAGCAUGUGGUUUAAUUCGAAGCUACGCGAAGAACCUUACCAGGUCUUGACAUACUAUGCAAAUCUAAGAGAUUAGACGUUCCCUUCGGGGACAUGGAUACAGGUGGUGCAUGGUUGUCGUCAGCUCGUGUCGUGAGAUGUUGGGUUAAGUCCCGCAACGAGCGCAACCCUUAUUAUCAGUUGCCAGCAUUAAGUUGGGCACUCUGGUGAGACUGCCGGUGACAAACCGGAGGAAGGUGGGGAUGACGUCAAAUCAUCAUGCCCCUUAUGACCUGGGCUACACACGUGCUACAAUGGAUGGUACAACGAGUUGCGAACUCGCGAGAGUAAGCUAAUCUCUUAAAGCCAUUCUCAGUUCGGAUUGUAGGCUGCAACUCGCCUACAUGAAGUCGGAAUCGCUAGUAAUCGCGGAUCAGCAUGCCGCGGUGAAUACGUUCCCGGGCCUUG